AACGAACGCUGGCGGCAGGCUUAACACAUGCAAGUCGAACGGUUGUAGCAAUACAGCAGUGGCAGACGGGUGAGUAACACGUGGGAACCUUCCUAGGAGUACGGAACAACUCAGGGAAACUUGAGCAAAUACCGUAUACGUCCGUGAGGAGAAAGAUUUAUCGCCCUUAGACGGGCCCGCGUCGGAUUAGCUAGUUGGUGGGGUAACGGCCCACCAAGGCGACGAUCCGUAGCUGAUCUUAGAGGAUGAUCAGCCACACUGGGACUGAGACACGGCCCAGACUCCUACGGGAGGCAGCAGUGGGGAAUCUUGGACAAUGGGCGCAAGCCUGAUCCAGCCAUGCCGCGUGAGUGAAGAAGGUCUUCGGAUUGUAAAGCUCUUUUGCCAGGGACGAUAAUGACGGUACCUGGAGAAUAAGCCCCGGCAAACUUCGUGCCAGCAGCCGCAGUAA
rnacentral:rRNA from 1 species